AGCGCGGCAGGAAGGGAGGAGAAAAUGAACCCGGCUUUCUCGCAACACUUUCUUUUUCAUGAACAUAUUUUAAGCAUACUAGCAACUUACUACACAUACAAUUACAACGUUUAUAUACCUUUUUAAAUGGUUAAACUUCUUUUAAAUGAGUCCCAAACGAUUCGGGUUUCCCUGCUAAAUCAGUAAUGUGUAAAUGAAAGAAAAGCAAAACGCAUGGUGCUGGAGCCCCCACGGCACAGAAGAGAAAGAGUCACUAUCUUGGAGCGCUUCUGGAGGACGUGCACUCAUUUCUGUUAGAUUUUCUAGGUAGGGUGCCUCCAUAUAGCCAUCAAAUCCUAAAGCUUCAUUUCAAAAUUACACAGUAAGAAAGACUGCUCUGAAGAUGAGUAAGUGAGUUACUGUUCCUCUUACUGUUCCCGAAAUAAAAAGGCAAAGAGUGGUUCCAUCCGACAUA